UACGUAGGGGGCAAGCGUUGUCCGGAAUCAUUGGGCGUAAAGCGCGUGUAGGCGGCCAGAAAAGUCCGCUGUGAAAACUCGAGGCUCAACUUCGAGCUGUCGGUGGAAACUUUCUGGCUAGAGUCCGGAAGAGGAGAAUGGAAUUCCUGGUGUAGCGGUGAAAUGCGCAGAUAUCGGGAGGAACACCGGUGGCGAAGGCGGCCCCCUGGUUGGAUACUGACGCUGAGACGCGAAAGCGUGGGGAGCAAACAGG
rnacentral:rRNA from 1 species